UUAAUUAAAUAAUAUAGCACAUAUAAAGGCAGGGAUAUGGCUUGCAAGUUUCUACCAUCAAACCGUAAAUUUGAUGACUAUGGGCAACU
rnacentral:ncRNA from 1 species